rnacentral:rRNA from 1 species
CACGUAGGGCGCGAGCGUUGUCCGGAAUUAUUGGGCGUAAAGAGCUCGUAGGCGGCCUGUUGCGUCCGCUGUGAAAGCCCGGGGCUUAACCCCGGGUCGGCAGUGGAUACGGGCAGGCUAGAGGUAGGUAGGGGAGAAUGGAAUUCCCGGUGUAGCGGUGAAAUGCGCAGAUAUCGGGAGGAACACCAGUGGCGAAGGCGGGUCUCUGGACAGUUCCUGACACUGAGGCACGAAGGCCAGGGGAGCAAACGGG